rnacentral:tRNA from 1 species
GUAAAUAUAGCUUAAACAAAGCAUUAGAUUGUGAAUCUAAAGUUAGAGUCUUAAUACUCUUAUUUACC